GAGACAGCAUGUCAGCCAGGGCCGCCCCCCCGGCAGCACACCCGUACUGGGGACCCCGAACGCGAGCCCAAAUUAACAAAGCCUAGCGCAGAGCACCGUGCAACAGAGAAGGAAGGCACGAGGCCUCGGCACGGUGGGCGCUCAACAGCCUGAGAGCCCCUGCAGUGCCCUCUGGACCACUCUGGGGCUCAUCAUGUAUCGCCAGGCGGCCACGAGGAUGGCAGGGGAGGCUCAGAUACGAGGAGUCACAGGCGUGACCACUUCACAGCCUUGUGUGUUUUCAUUCAGAUAGGCUAGGACUGUCAGGGCCACCUGACACCUGACGUGGACGUUUCUCUGCCGGAUUCCCUGCUCUGUAUGGGUUCCCUCCGGGACCAGAGUCUUCCGCAGGUUCUCUUGGGGCAAAGCAUCUCUUCCUGCCCGCCCUCCCCAUUGGCUGAGGCGACAACCCUCUGCACGUGGCUCAGGGAAGGGUGGCAGCUCCCAACAGUGGAGCUCUGGAACCUUCCGUGUCUGGUCUUCCAUCCUGGAGACACCCAGUAUCUGACCCUGUGGACUUAGCACUUCAAACAUUUCAGCAACUCUGAGAGUUUUCUCUUUAGAACAGGGCCGUUUAGGCGGCGGGGGCACACGAGCACCCAUGAAACAUGCCUUUGUGCAAUUGUAGCGCAGUGAAAACACCAACCGACUUCUGCAUAUUUGAAAAGCAGCUAAAGGCCGUGACCACGGACGUGCACAGUAGAGGUUUAACUAGAUAGUGGAGCCAUUCUGAGCGUGACAAGGACAAGGCCAGGUGACAGGAUGGCACCCUAAACCACAGAAACAGCCACACCUUCUGCAGGAAGCGGCCCCUCCCAUCCUAGCCCUGACGAUGCAACUGUGACGGGACCCGCAAAGAAAAGCCAUCCAGUGACCCAGGGUCCCCGGAUGACCAGCACCAGGGGCAUUAGCCUGGGUGAUGGCCCGGCCCCCAAGGAGUCCCUGUCAGCAUGGCCUCAGGUGGCUCUGCAGUGGACAGUGACUGCAGGGUCCUGAUCCUGCAGAGAUACACAGCGAAAUAUUUAUUCAUAGGCAAAAUGUCUUCCUGUCGGGGAUUUACUUCAAAAUACUGGGGACGCAGAAGCAGGUAGGGAGAUGGAGGAACGGGUCGGACGCAGCAAUGGCUGAGCCGACGGCCUGGCUCUCCACAUCGACAGCAGAAAGUCUCUCAAGUGAGGUUUGGUGGAUAAAACAGGUGACAGUAAUUUCCACAACCGAGACCACUCCUGUGACCAGCAGCACUGGUGGAUGGAACCGCUUCUGCAUUUACCCGAAGCCAUGGCGCGGAACAAGCCAUCCAUGCACCUGUUCCUCGAGCUGCCACCACCCACGGCCCAGUAGGAAUCAGGAGCGUGCAGCUGAGGCCUCAGAGGAGAGGCUCCCCUCUGUUCUCUUCCCUCCCUGGGUCCCAGGGGCACACUACCGCGGCAACCGCCCCAGAGCCUUAGCGCACCCUGGGGACGCCCCCAGACACCCCUGCUGCCCAAGGUGUUUCCACACAACUGGAAGGAGAUGAGGCCAGUGCUCCAGCCAAGUCCAUAGGGCGCCCCUGGCCGGGCGGGUGACCUCCCUGUGCUCAGGGUCCCAGCCUGCAAGCCAGAGGUGGGAGAGGCACGUGCUGGGGCCCCGGUGGAGAGCAUAACACAUGGCCAGGGAAACCAUGACCCUGACCUGGGGGUCUGAGGGCCAGUGGGAUGGUCUGGCUCAGCCCUGGCAUGGGUGACUGCUCUGAGCAGCACAGGGCAAUUUCCCAACUGAGCUCUUCCUGCUGAGUAAAAUCACACCCGACCUCAUUUUGAGAACACAGGGAAACGGCAGAAGCAAGGAGCUGAGGACAGGAGGGGACGGGGCACAGCGCGGCCAGAGGGUGUGAGCGAAGAGUCGGGAUGGAGUGGCUCCCUGGGGGAAGGGGGGGCCGCCCUGACCCGCUUCUGGCCUCAGGGUCUAAACCUCCCUCUGGACCCCCCUCCACCACCUGCCUCAAGGGCAACUUCUCUGCACUGACCACUUGGGAUCACGAGGCAAGCAAUCAUUUUGCUUUCUUUUGCAUUAAAAAAAAUCAAAAUCGAAAAAUAAAUGCCAAAUGCACCCCCUCUUCUAGCAAUUUCCAUUUCACCUAUGUCUUUCCAUGUCUCAGACACGAUUCCAUGGCAGAAGCUUGGGGCCCUUCCCACCUGCUUCUCACAAGCCCCUGAAGACGUUCCCAGGAUGUGGCCACCUGCACCCCAACUUCCGACAGCCGCAGAGCAGGGGGGACACGUCUAACAGCCCUGGAACGCGGGGCCUGGACGGAGCCGAAGCUCCUCGCUAUCAAGGACACUUUUCUGUGACCUCUGCCACCGUCUGCGUUGCCGUCUCCGGCCCAGCGCGGCCCCAUCACUCAUCACCAGUGUCACCAGCCGGGCAGAGAGACCGUGAGGGGGGACUGGAGGCGCCACAGUCCAAGGAAACUCCCAGAGCUGGCCUCACCCAUGCUCAGCCCAGCACACAGGUCAAACCCAGCCUCGGUGGACAAGCCACCUGCACACGGGGCACAGAAGGACCACACGGCCCACAGGCGCAUCUGCCAAGACAGGGAAGACAGGCGGCCGUGGGGCUGUGCCGUGAGGGGAAGAACAAAGACCCGCCUGAAGUGGCACUUUUGGUCACUGCUGCCAGAGCCCACGAGCUACACGGAUAUCAUGUCUGCUACCUGUGAACACCAAGCAUUUCCAGUGUCAGCAUCGUGUCCGCUCAUGGUUUAAACAAAUAAAGUAAAAGGGAAUCUUGUC